AAUGAACGCUGGCGGCGUGCCUAACACAUGCAAGUCGGAUGUGCCGCAAGGUGCAUGGCAGACGGGUGAGUAACGCGUGGGGAAUCUACCUUUUUGUGGGGAAUAACGUUCCGAAAGGAAUGGUAAUACCGCAUGUGAUCAUCGGCUGGGAUGCUGAUGAUGAAAGCCGGGGACCGCAAGGCCUGGCGCAAGAAGAGGAUCCUGCGUCUGAUUAGCUAGUUGGCGGGGUAAUGGCCCACCAAGGCGACGAUCAGUAGCCGGCCUGAGAGGGUGAUCGGCCACACUGGAACUGAGACACGGUCCAGACUCCUACGGGAGGCAGCAGUGGGGAAUUUUGCGCAAUGGACGAAAGUCUGACGCAGCAACGCCGCGUGGGUGAUGAAGGUCUUCGGAUCGUAAAACCCUGUCGUCAGGGACGAAGGUAAUGUGCCUAAUACGCAUGUUGCUUGACGGUACCUGGAGAGGAAG
rnacentral:rRNA from 1 species